AAGNCGCCAAGGACGUGCCUAACACAUGCAAAUCGAAUGAAAAUAAUUAAUUAUUGUUUUCAUGGGUGAACGGGUGAGUAACACAUAAGAAUCAGCUUUUAGAUAAGGCAUAAAAGAGUAAUAUCUUGGUAAUUCCUUAUAUGCGCAGCAGUGCUUAAAAAGGGGAGUCCCGUCUAAAAACGAGCUUAUGCCUGAUUAGCUAGUUGGCGGGUUAAAAGCUCACCAAGGCGAAGAUCAGUAGCUGGCCUGAGAGGGCGGCCAGCCACAUUGGGACUGAGACACGGCCCAAACUCCUACGGGAGGCAGCAGUGGGGAAUCUUCUGCAAUGGGCGCAAGCCUGACAGAGCGGCGUCGUGUGAAGGAAGAAGGCCUGAAAUAGGUUGUAAACUUCUUUUACUGAGUAAUGAAUAAUGACAACGCAGUAAAAAAGUAUCGGCUAACUCCGUGCCAGCAGCCGCGGUAAU
rnacentral:rRNA from 1 species